rnacentral:lncRNA from 1 species
CUUGUCUCAUGGACUGGUAAAGGCUUCUUUGAUCCUAUAUUUUCAUUGUUUAUCUCAAUUUUCAUUGCUUUUUAUUUAUUGUGACUCCAAUCUAAUGAUAUAAAUUACUCACAAUUAAGUGCUUAAUAAUGAACUAUGGUAAUAUAAAUAAUAUCCAUAGAUGUAUAGUUUUGGGCUCUGAAGCAAGUGAGAUAUCACCACGCUUCUCUUCUCUCUCUCUCUUCUAUUCCUUCUUUUGUGCUCUGCAGCAUCCUCUGCUGGUUCAGUGGUUUCUCUCUCAGUGAAUCUUUUCUUCUUCUUUCUUCGAGUCUAAUCCUGUUUCUUCCUUUUGUGAUGCAAGGCUUGACUGAUUCAUCCAGUGAUCGGUACCUGAACCACUAAAUCUUGCUGCUUUUGCUUCUGCUGCGUUAAAAAUUUGAUCUUUUUUCUAGCCUUCUUCCCUUGUUUUGUUUCUCAGGUAUCGGGUCGGAGCAAAUGGGAUUUCCUUGGUCAACGGAGAUGCGGCUUUGCUUGUGUAAGGUCAGUUGUGAAGAUUGAAUCUUCUCAUCCUGAAACAUCUUUCUUGCUCCUGUUUUGGGAUUUCGUGUUGUAAAGAUCGUAGCUUUUUUGCUUGUGACUGCUAUCUGUAGCAAAUCCUUUUGGGGUUUCUUCAAAUUGUAGAGCUGUCGUUGUGUUUUUCCUGAAAUUCCAGAUCAUGCACUCUAUGCAAUCUUGAAAAGCUCAGGUCAUUUCUCGAUCGUUUUCCUUCAGGAUUAAAUGUUCUUCAAAACAAGGGCAAUCUUGUCAGUAAUGAUUUGCAAUCUGUCUUUCGAUCAAGAAAGCGAUUGCUUUUGUCUUUCUUGUUGAUCUUUUUGAGGAGAUCCUACCGGUUAUUUGCUUUUGAUGGUUUGCUUUUCUGAACAUCUAAAACCCCCAGUUCAUAGCCUUCACUGGAUCUAAUCGUUCGAGUAAUCUGGUCUCGUCUUGAAGCAUCAGUCUUUCCAAAAAUCAUGUGGUAUUUGGAAUUAGUUGCAUGCUUAAUAUUUGAUGGUUUGCUUUUCUGAACAUCUAAAACCCCCAGUUCAUAGCCUUCACUGGAUCUAAUCGUUCGAGUAAUCUGGUCUCGUCUUGAAGCAUCAGUCUUUCCAAAAAUCAUAUGGUAUUUGGAAUUAGUUGCAUGCUUAAUAUUUGAGUUCUCUUACCUUAUAACCAUUUCCUAGAUCAUUUUGGUGAACAAAAUACCUUCAGCUCUUUUCUCUUUAUUUUAUUUUGCUUUUCUGAAAUUUCGCUCAGAUUACGAGGUUCUUAACUACUGUGGCAACUAACAAUGAAUCUUUCCUUUUACUGUUCUCUUUGUUGAAUCAUUUAGUAGCUUAGGAUUUUGGAUUCAUUUGUUUAGCAGCUUAGAACCUUUUACAGAUUUAGUCCACAUGAUAAAGCUUUUCAGUACAUUAUCUCGUGGAUAUGCAGUCAAUCAUGAAAUUUGCAGUGUUUGGAACUAACUUUUCCCAAUCUCAUUUCCUAUAAUUGCCGGUACAUGUGACUGUUCAAGUUGUUUUGAUCGUCUAUCUGUGGGUUAAUGGGAAGAGGCAGAGGAAAGGGGAAGAAAUUGACAGCGGUCACAAGUCAUGAGGAUCUGGAGAAUGGUAUUGAAGAUCCCCUUCCUGCAUAUAGGAGGAGGGGAAGGCUGCAGAAGCCCAUGAAGGAUGACAUCGGCGAAGAUGAUGCCGAGAAGAAUGAAGGCGGGGCAGAUGAUACGAAAAUUACUGUGACAAGCAAAGAGCUUAAGGGUUCGACGGUGCAGAAGGGGAGGAAGAGGAAGAGGAGUUCACUAGUAAAAGACAAGUCUGAUUCGGUUUCAGAGGAGAAUGGUGAUGAAUUGAAACCAAAAAAUGAAGAGUCAACUGGGUCCAAUGGUUUUCGGCAUAAUGGAAACCGACGGAAGAGCAAACCUCACCGGGCUGCCGAGGCAUGAGUCCUGUGCAAGCCAGUUUUGCAGCUUGCUAUUAUUGUGACUCUUGUUGCCAUUACAAAACCGGACAUGGUGAACACUUUGAAUCCUUUGCAGUUGACUCUUUUGCUCCUAGUUUCCAUCUUUUUCUCCUCUGUUCUUCAUGAGCAAACUAAACAGGAAGCUUGGGACUAGAUAUACCACUUCCUGAUCUUUGUUCGCAUCCAAGUGCUGUAAAAAUAUCUUUUCUUUUAUUUUGUUUCAGAGGAAGAGCUGCGUGC